UUUUUACUUAAAGCUAACAUUUGGCAUUUUCUUUUAAUUUUUUUCCUUCAAUUUAUAACUUAUGCCUCAUUACGUGUAUACUCAACGUUUCGUGUUUGUCUACAUAUGUAUACGCGAAAUUGGAUCAAUUUCUUCGGAUAACAUAAGGUACUUGAUUGAAUAAUUUUUCAGAUAAUAACACAAUAGAACACAAAUCACAAGGAAUUUUGAUCGCAGAAAGUAUUAUGAUAAUUGAUGCCUGUAACCAGAAACAGGAUAAUGAAGAAAGCUGUCGUAAAACACGAAGCCAAUUACGCAGAUUAUACAAAUAAUUCGGGAAGAUUUGAAACUUGAACAAA